UGUGAGGGGGUUACUAGUGACAGAGUGAGGGAAGGGGUGACUAGUGGCAGAGUGAGGGAAGGAAGGGGUGACUAGUGACAGAGUGAGGAAGGUGGUGACUGUUACUAGUCACCACCUCCCUCUGUCACUACUCCCUCCCUCCUUCUGUCACUACUCCCUCCCUUCUUCUGUCACUAGUCACCCCCUCCCUCACCCUGUCACCAGUCAUCCCCUCCCUCACUCUGUCACCAGUCAUCCCCUUCCCUCACUCUGUCACCCCCUCACUCUAGUGACAGAGUG